rnacentral:pre_miRNA from 1 species
UUAACUCAAAUUUGAAUAGGAGGUGGAAGGUUUGCCUGCGUUUGCCGUUAGGGGCGCUGUUUCAACUGCAUACAAGUUUGAGUUA